UACGUAGGGUGCAAGCGUCGUCCGGAAUUAUUGGGCGUAAAGAGCUCGUAGGCGGUCUGUUACGUCGGCUGUGAAAACCUGGGGCUCAACCCCGGGCCUGCAACCGAUACGGGCAGACUAGAGUUCGGCAGGGGAGACUGGAAUUCCUGGUGAGCGGUGAAUGCGCAGAUAUCAGGAGGAACACCGGUGGCGAAGGCGGGUCUCCUGGGCCGACACGUGACGCUGAGGCGCGAAGCUCGGGAGCGAACGGG
rnacentral:rRNA from 1 species